rnacentral:rRNA from 1 species
UACGUAGGGUGCAAGCGUUGCCCGGAAUUAUUGGGCGUAAAGAGCUCGUAGGCGGUCUGUCGCGUCGGCUGUGAAAACCCGGGGCUCAACCCCGGGCCUGCAGUCGAUACGGGCAGACUAGAGUGCGGUAGGGGAGACUGGAAUUCCUGGUGUAGCGGUGAAAUGCGCAGAUAUCAGGAGGAACACCGGUGGCGAAGGCGGGUCUCUGGGCCGUAACUGACGCUGAGGAGCGAAAGCGUGGGGAGCGAACAGG